rnacentral:sRNA from 1 species
GCCAGGUGUGGUGGGGCACACCUGUAAUCCCAGCCACUUGGGAGGCUGAGGCAGGAAGAUAGCGAGUUCAAACCCAGCCUCAG